GGAGGUGCGCGCCGAGAGGAUCGCUAUGGAGACGCGAGGGCGCGGCCGGGACGGGGACUGGGGCCCUACUCCCCGGAGGCCUCCCCACCCAGCCUCCCGGUGGGGCGGGGCCGAGGCAACAGGGCCGGGAAAGGUGGGGCUGGGGCCCCCGGUGGCCGCUACCCGUGGGGCGGUGGCUCCGCACCUCGGGCUCGGGGCCGCGGCUCAGAGCCUGGCUCCCCACCCCGGCAGAACAGAUCCACGGAGACCGCCGCCAGGAGUGCCGCGCGGGUAGGACCCGGGGGCGGAGGACUGGGGCCGAGAGGCCGGGGAGCCCCCCCCCACCCAUUAAGGACUGCGGAGGCUGUCGAGGAGGGUUACCCAUUUUACAGCAAGACGCACGGAGGCUAAAAUGCUUCACCCCGACUAAAACUCCCUGGACUUUGAAGCCCAAUAGGCAGCUACCGGAUCUGCGUCCCACUUGGUUUAAAGCGCAACUUUUAAAUGAAAGAAGAAAACCCCGGUUGACAUAAGGGAUUUGGAGAGGACGGCGGAGGCGCGCUCAUCUCCCGCGUGCGGCCCGACCCGAGCGUUCGCGGACGCAUCGCGGAAUCCCCGAGCGUCCGGCUCCUCCCGAAGCGGGUUGCGGGGAAGGCGGGGGGCUGCGGGUCCUGGAAGCUGCCUGGGGCAAGCAAGCACCCGCAGGGAUUUAGAGCUGUGCCACAGCCCCUGCCCAGCCUCCUACGGAGGACAGCGGGGGGCGGGGGGCAGAGACCUUAGAGCUUUCAGAAAAGUGACACACACCCCCGCCUCCUGCGGGGAACCACGGGGGGCCGGGGGCAGCUUUAGGUUUGCGUGACGGGUACACCUGCCUCCGGAUGGGGCACAGGGAUAAAGGGGGUGGAGGCUUAGGACUUGGCGACCCCCCGCAUGGGCGGGGCUUUGGGACUGUGCCACCAGCGGCUGGGAAGGGCGCGCACUCCCUUGGUGGCGCUCGGGGCGCCGGAGUCCAGUGCAGCCCUUAGGCCUCCCAGUGGUCGGGGACGGUAGGUGGGGGUCGCCUCUUCUCUCCUAGAAGGGCUUCUCCUGGGGCCGGUCGGAGCGGUGGGGGUGGGAGUAAUGCGCAGUCACCCCUAGAACGGGUCUUUUUGGCAAGGGAGGGUCGGAUCCUGCAGCCAAAUCUCUGAGCUGAGCUGAGAUGAGUCCAGUCUCAACGAGGACCGUGGGCGGCUGUGGAGAACCGGAAGGGUUUCUCCCCCGGAGCGAUGUGUCUGUGUGUGUGUCACACGCAUACUCAGCCAACUUCGCUCAAAGCUGCUGAAACAGUGUCUUUGUGCUGAAGCCCAAUGUGAGCAUUUUCUUCCCAGUAGCAAGGAUUUGAACACGUUAUAUUGAUCUAAAAGGUGGAGUUGCUUUGGAACCUUUUAAUUCGAGGUUUCCACUGGAGAGUCCUGUUGGGAAAUGUGUGUGUGGAGGGAGGGGAGGAAGGAGAAAAGUCCGUCUCCUUAAUGUGAGCGGUCCAGGACCUCCCCACCCGCCAUAUACCCUUCCACUGGGAUUUUUCCGGGAAGGAUGAAAGGACAGGAGUUCUGGGGCCGGAAGGCAGGGCGGGUCCCUGAGCCCGGAGCCUCCCAGUGGAAGGCUACUGGGCGGACCUGAAGGGGACCCAGGCAGGAGGAAAAACCAGAGAACCCCAGGAGUGCCUGUUUUGCAAUAAGGCUUUAAGCAGAGUGGGUUGGGUUUAAAUAAACAAAACUCAGCUGCAGCCAGUGGGUUCAGGUGUGGGCCUGCUUUUCUGGAAUAAGGCACCUGCAGGCUGCGAGGUAACCACAGGGACUGCCCAACACCUAGGGACAGGGGAGGAUGGAUGAAUCUCACUAACAGGAUGUCCAGCAAAGACAAAAGAUCAUUCCAUUCACGCUUAGACCGACAGCAAGCCCGACUCCACCAUAACGUUUAGAGGUGUGCACAAAUAGGGGAAAGAUGAAGAAAAACAAGGAGGUGAUUAUGGGCACAUUCAGGAGGGCUCUGGGGGAGGAGGGGCAUCCCCUUCUGGACCUGAGGGUUACCAGAGUGUCGGCUUCAUGAUCACACUUUGAACUCCAAACACAUGAUUUGCGUACUUUUCCCUAUGCCUGCAUCUAGAGUCGGCAGUUUUUGUUUUUUUUUGUUUUGUUUUGUUUUGUUUUGUUUUGUUUUUUUGAGACAGAGUUUCACUGUUGUUGCCCAGGCUGGAGUGCAAUGGCACGAUCUCAGCUUACCACAACCUCCGCCUUCCAGGUUCAAGCAAUUCUGCCUCAGCCUCCCUAGUAGCUGGGAUUACAGGCGUGCGCCUCACGCCCGGCUAAUUUUGUAUUUUCAGUAGAGACGGGGUUUCUCCAUGUUGGUCAGGCUGGUCUCGAACUCCCAACCUCGUGAUCCGCCCACCUCGGCCUCCCAAAGUGCUGGGAUUACAGGCAUGAGCCACCGUGCCUGGCCUAUUUUUAUUUAUUGCUAAAUAGAGAUGGGGUCUUGCUAUGUUGCCUAGGUUGAUCUCAAACUUCUGGGCUCAAGAGAUCCUCCCACUUCAGCCUCUCAAAGUGCUAGGAUUACAGGUAUGAGCCACCACACCCUAUUUAGAGUCCACAGUUUUAUUUUAUUUUACUUUAUUUAUUUUUGAGACGGAGUUUUGCUCUCUCACCUAGGCUGGAGGACAGUGGCGCGAUCUCAGCUCAAUGCAACCUCCACCUCCUGGGUUCAAGCAAUUCUCCUGCCUCAGCCUCCAGAGUAGCUGGGAUUAUAGGCACACACCACCAGUCCUGACUAAUGUGUGUAUGUUUAGUAGAGACGGUUUCGCCAUGUUGACCAGGCUGGUCUGGAACUCCUGACCUCAGGUGAUCCACCCACCUCAGCCUCCCAAAGUGCUGGGAUUACAGGCAUGAGCCACCGCGCCGGGCCUAGAAUCCACAAUUUUAAGUAAGUGGGGAGGGGAGAGGGACUAACAAGACGGAGGCCGCAGCUUGUGCUGAGACGGCCAGGUGGUCCGGCCGCAUCAGAAAUCACGAGUUUGGAAUGACUGGCACCUUCGAGGGGUUGAGCUUUAAUUCUGCCACUAACUAGUUGUGUGACCUUCGCCAAGGCCUAACUCCUUGUUCUAACUGGACACAAUAGUCCUAGACUCCUAGCGUUGUUGAAGGAUUAACAAGACAAUCUGUGUGAAGCGGUCGGCACAGGGUCUGGCUCAGGCAUGGAUCUGCCAGUAAUAGCAUUUACUAUUUUCACAGUUGCUGUUUCCUAGCAUGAGUUCAAGGCUGCCUCCUCUCUGUCUUCAUUAUGUGAAUUGAAUGUGGUCACACAUCUGUGUUGGAGCAGAGGCAGGGGCUGCAGCUUUCAGCUGAUUUCCCAAGGGGUCUGUACUUGGACACUGAUCCAGUCCACCCAAUGUGUUUCCAGAAAGUGGAGCUGAUUCCUGGAGAGCAGAAGGGAUAUAUGUGGGGCUUUUUGUAAAGGGCAGUGACCUAUGUGGUGGGCUUGUCCACUGCCCGAGUCUGCGGCUCCCACAGGUCACUGCCCGGCUCAUAUCCUUCCCCUUUGGAAUUGGCUUGGAGCAGGGUCUCUCCUCCCCGGCCCCUAUGUGCCCACCAUCUCUGGGGUCAGUGGCCCACUCAUGACUCUCAGGGCGGGGAGGGGGCUUGGAGUUCAGUAACAGCACCCUGGGUCAUUCUUGCACCUGUCACCCUGAGAGCCACUG
rnacentral:lncRNA from 10 species